AGAAACUUUAACGUUUAGUUAAGAGCUGCAACAUUAAAACAUGGACAGACAAGUAAAGGAAAACAUUCUAAAUCUGGAGAAACGAAGAAAGACAAAAACAAAAGGUUAACAUUUUAAUUUGUAUGCGUGGACAGGAAUAAAUGGAAAGCGAGAAAUAAAUGAGAAAAGCUAAAAGUAUUGAAUGUCAAACCUGUAGAGCAUAAGGGGCAGAAACGUAUAAGCUCGUGCUUACAGAAAAC